rnacentral:rRNA from 1 species
AAAACUUUCAACAACGGAUCUCUUGGUUCUGGCAUCGAUGAAGAACGCAGCGAAAUGCGAUAAGUAAUGUGAAUCGCAGAAUUCAGUGAAUCAUCGAAUCUUUGAACGCACAUUGCACCCUCUGGCACUCAGGGGGUAUGCCUGUCCGAGCGUCGCC